CAAUAGCGUAUAUUAAGUUUGUUGCGGUUAAAAAGCUUGUAGUUGGGUGUCUGCCGAGGACGACCAGUCCGCCCUCUCGGUGAGUAUCUGGCUCGGCCUCUGCAUUUUCUUGGAUAACGUAGCUGCACUCGACUGUGUGGUGCGGUAUCCAGGACUCCUGCUUCGAGGAAAUCAGAGUGUCUCAAGCAGGCUUCCGCCCUGAAUACAUUAGCAUGCAAAAAGAAGAUAGGACAUCAGUUCUAUCUGGUUGGCUUCUAGAGCUGAGGUAAUGAUAAAUAGGGAUAGCUGGGGGCAUUCGUAUUUAAUUGUCAGAGGUAAAAUUCUUGAAGUUGUUAAAGGCGGACUACUGCGAAAGCAUUUGCCAAGGAUGUUUUCAUUG
rnacentral:rRNA from 1 species